UUCUCUGCUCUUCAUCUUUAGAGUGUGAUUUCCACCUUAAUGUUGCCAGAGUCCUAGAUACUGGAGUGUAAACCAUUUGUGUCAAUUUCAGGCAGGAAGCAGGAAGAAAGGGGAGAAAGAAAGAAAGACAAAAGGAAUGCCAACUGGAAGAAAAGUUUUGACCAUAGAUUUGUUCAGCUGGAUAAAUGGUUAAUUUUAGAAGGCUUUUAGAGCUCCAAGAAUAGCUUUGUACUUUGAACUUCUUAAACAGAAAUCUUUGUGUUGAUUGUUUUAUCUCAAUACUAAGUAAGUUACUUGUUAUCAUAGUGUUUUUACUUAAAGGUUAGCUAUUUUCAUUGUCAGGAGAAAUCCUUUUAAAAGGUGAACGUGUUCCAGCAAAUUUUCAUGUCGUAAUUUAUGUGAUUUCAUUAUAUGCAGCUUUAAAGAGGCUCGUUAUGUGCUUUAAAUAUGUUUCAGAAUCAUGAGCAUUGUGUGUCCUUUGCUACAGCUUUUGUACCAAGCCUGUUAAGAAUUGCUAGCUCUCUGUUUCCUUGAUUUUAUGAGUGCUUGAUAAAUUCUGUUAAAAAUGGAACUUGAUUUAUGAGCUUAAAUUUGGUUAAUUUCCAUAGACAUGAGGUUUUUAAAUUUUUUCUUAAUGUUCGUUUUUUUUAAGAAAAAAACCUGUAUAAGUAGAGCAUACUUUAUAAAGAUGUAAGAACGAGAAUGUCACGACUGUUGGAGUUGAGAAUGAUUUUCCUUCGAAAGUGGGUGUAAGUUUGAAGUAGAACUAUAAAAGAAGGAUUGGCUCUAUGUCCCAAAA